UAACCUUAGACAAUUAUAGAGAAUGUGAAUUUAUACUAAACCAAGUGCGUGCACCAAGUUGAGUUAAUGUAAACUCGGAUUUGAGUUUGGUUUAGAUAAUGGUUCGGGUACAUGGAUCAUGAUCCAACAACCUAUAUUUUUACAUUAAAGUUUUAUUUUAUGUAAUUGAUCGCUGCAAAAAUAAAAAUUUGGUUAGAAAAAUAAACAAGUCUUUUAGAGAAUAAAACUUUGUAAAAAAUAAUCAAUUCUUGUUAAGAAUUAGUCUUGGUAACAAGAAUUAGUCUUGGUAACCAAGGUAAAAAAUCUCUUUAAUUUUGUGAUUAAUACCAAAAAUUAAUGCAAUAUUUAUCUCCACUAA
rnacentral:lncRNA from 1 species